CAGUAGCCGCGGUAAUACGAAGGGGGCUAGCGUUGUUCGGAAUUACUGGGCGUAAAGCGCACGUAGGCGGAUCGAUCAGUCAGGGGUGAAAUCCCAGGGCUCAACCCUGGAACUGCCUUUGAUACUGGGUAUCUCGAGUCCGGAAGAGGUGAGUGGAAUUCCGAGUGUAGAGGUGAAAUUCGUAGAUAUUCGGAGGAACACCAGUGGCGAAGGCGGCUCACUGGUCCGGUACUGACGCUGAGGUGCGAAAGCGUGGGGAGCAAACAGGAUUAGAUACCCCAGUAGUCCCUGUCUCUUAUAC
rnacentral:rRNA from 1 species